rnacentral:tRNA from 1 species
GUUCCUGUAGUUAAAAUUAUAACGGUGGCUUUUCAGGCCACAGAUUCUGGAGAGAAGCUAGGCAGGAAUU